rnacentral:rRNA from 1 species
UAAAAAGUUACUCAAGCGCACACAAAGGAUGCCUUGACAUGUAAUACCGAAGAAGGACGUGAUGAGCUGCGAAAAGCUCCGGGGAACAGCCAAAUAUGUUUUGAUCCGGAGAUGUCCGAAUGGGGAAACCCGGCUGGAGUAAUGUCCAGUCACCGCUAUCUGAAUAUAUAGGAUAGUGAGUAGGUAACCGCCUGAACUGAAACAUCUUAGUAGGGCGAGGAAGAGAAAGUAAACAACGAUUCCGGUAGUAGUGGCGAGCGAAUCCGGAACAGCCCAAACCUAUUUUGCUUUUGCCUGGUAAUUUAUUACUGGCAAAUAAGUUGGUAGACGAAUGUAAAUUACGGGGUUGUGACAUUGCAAACAUCCUUGUGUGGGAGUCCGCUUCGGCGGGAGUCCACACGAGGCAGCUAGAUCUACCAGUGUCUAGCAUAAGGUCAGAAAUUGAUGAGGCGAGCAGAAGCAACUGGAAAGUUGCGCCAUAGACGGUGAUAGCCCGGUACGCCAAGUUUCAUCAACCUUAUAUUUGCAAACUUGCGUGGGACGCAAGAUUUAGCAGACAAACAAAUAGCAUUUAGCAGAAAUUGAGCAGCUAUCAGGUUGCAGACGAAAACAUCUGAAACCUGAAAAAUGUUAAAUUCUGUCAUCCGCGAUUUGGUGCCUGAUAAAUCUCGCGUUUUACGCGAGUCUUAGUGUCGAGUAGGUCGGGGCACGUGAAAUCCUGACUGAAUCUGGGGGGUCCACCCUCCAAGGCUAAAUAUAUUACAUGAUCGAUAGAGAACAAGUACCGCGAGGGAAAGGUUAAAAGAACCCCGGGAGGGGAGUGAAAUAGAACCUGAAAUUGUGUGCGUACAAGGAGUCGGAGUCCCGCCUUUGGCGGGAUGACGGCGUGCUUUUUGUAGAACGAUCCAACGAGUUAUUUGCUACGGCAAGCUUAAGUCAUAUGACGUAAGCUAAGCGAAAGCGAGUCUGAAUAGGGCAUUCAGUCGUAGUAAAUAGACCCGAAACCAGGUGACCUAACCAUGGGCAGGUUGAAGCGUCGGUAAAACGACGUGGAGGACCGAACCGUAGCGAGUUGCAACACGCCCGGAUGACCUGUGGUUAGCGGUGAAAUGCCAAUCGAACCUGGAGAUAGCUGGUUCUCCUCGAAAUAGCUUUAGGGCUAGCGUUGUACGGUAGCUGAUAGGGGUAGAGCUCUGUUUCGGACUGGGGGUCGUAAGAUUACCCACCCUUGACAAACUACGAAUACUAUCAGUGGAACUACAGCAGUCAGAACGGCGGGGCUAAGCUCGUCGCUCGAAAGGGAAACAGCCCAGAUCACCAUCUAAGGUCCCCAAGUCUAUGCUAAGUGGGAAACGAGGUGGGGUUUCUUAAACAACUAGGAUGUUGGCUUAGAAGCAGCCAUUCAUUUAAAGAGUGCGUAACAGCUCACUAGUCAAGAGGCCCUGCGCGGAAAAUGUAACGGGGCUAAGCAUAGCACCGAAGAUGUGAACUUGUGCAUAGCACAAGAUUUAGCAGAAAAACAGGUAGCAUGUUUCAGAAAUUUUUCAGGUAUCAGGUUACAGACGAGCCGUCUGCCACCUGCCAAAUGCAAAAUUUCUGUUAUCUGCGACUUGUGACCUGAUAAAUCAUGCGCUAUGCAUGAGUGGUAGAGGAGCGUUCCUCUCAGCGUUGAAGUUGAACCGUGAGGUUUGGUGGAGCGUGAGGAAGUGAGAAUGUUGGAAUGAGUAACCAUAAGGCAGGUGAGAAUCCUGCCCACCGAAAGAGCAAGGUUUCCUGGGCCACGGUAAUCGUCCCAGGGUUAGUCGGUCCUAAGCCGAGGCGCGUAGCGUAGGCGAUGGACAACGGGUUAAUAUUCCCGUACUGGCAUGUAUUUGUUAUAUGUGCGCGGCAUAGUAGUAGGAGCGGAUUCAUGGUUAUAUCCGUCUAAGUGCGAGAAAAGCGUACGAAUGAAACGACCAUCAGGUUGAAUUUCGAUGAAAGUGCUGACUAGAAAAGCAAUAUAACGCGUGGUACAUGCCACCCGUACCGCAAACCGACACAGGUGCUCAGGUCGAGAAGACCAAGGUGUACGAGUGAUUCUUCGUUAAGGAACUCGGCAAACAAGCGACCGUAACUUCGGGAUAAGGUCUGCCCCCUCACUCUGUCUAUGACAGGUGAGUAUGCCAGUUUUCUUUUUGAAAACCUGGCGUGAAUGUAAGUUUAUAACUUCUUAUGUUCACGACAAAUCGAACAAUUUUUGAGACAUAUCAGAAAGAAAGCUGUCCCAAACACACUAGAUGCGUUAUUGCUGCAAACUGUUCCCGAAAGGGAAAUGAGCAGCCGGAGCAACGAAUUUAUUUCGGUGCACCGCGCGAUGAGAAAAACCGUAGGUUUUAUCUCAUUCACAGCUAGAGUGAGGGGGCCGCAGCUAAAGAACCCAUGCAACUGUUUACCAAAAACACAGGUCUGUGCUAACACGAAAGUGGAUGUAUACGGGUUGACGCCUGCCCGGUGCUGGAAGGUUAAGGGGAGUUGUGUAUGCAGCGAACUGAAGCCCCAGUGAACGGCGGCGGUAACUAUAACCGUCCUAAGGUAGCGAAAUUCCUUGUCAGGUAAGUUCUGACCCGCACGAAUGGCGUAAUGAUAUGGGUACUGUCUCAACGAAGAGCUCGGUGAAAGUGCAUUGACGGUAAAGAUGCCGUCUGUCCGCAGCAGGACGAAAAGACCCCGUGCAGCUUUACUAUAGCUUGACAUUGAGCCGGGUUAUAACAUGUGUAGUAUAGGUGAGAGACUUUGAAGCCCAGACGCUAGUCUAGGUGGAGUCACCAGUGAAAUAUCACCCUUGUUAUGAUCUUGUUCUUUACGGGGCCCUCAAUUUGCGGAGCAAAUGGAGGGCAUUGAUCAUUUUUCAUUGAUAAUUUACCAUUAAUUCUUCAUUGUACAUGUUUCAAUUAUGCAUUUUAGAGUGCCAAAUGAGACAUGCUACCUGAUCAAUUAAUGCAAAAUGUCCAAUGGUAAUGGUAAUGACCUCUGAAUUUGAUCCUCAAAUUCAGGGUCCCGGACCGUGUCUGGUGGGUAGUUUAACUGGGGCGGUUGCCUCCUAAAGAGUAUCGGAGGCGUUCAAAGGUUAGCUAACUACGGAUGGAAAUCGUAGUGAUAGUGUAUACGCAUAAGCUAGCUUGACUGUGAGGCCUACAAGCCGAGCAGGGACGAAAGUCGGAGUAAGUUUUCCGCUGUCAGUACAUUUGUACAAGAGUGUGGUAUCGGCAGCGCUUUCGGAUAAAAGUUACGCCGGGGAUAACAGGCUUAUAGCAUCCAAUAGUUCACAUAGACGAUGCUGUUUGGCACCUCGAUGUCGGCUCAUCUCAUCCUGGGGCUGGAGCAGGUCCCAAGGGUCCGGCUGUUCGCCGGUUAAAGAGGUACGUGAGCUGGGUUCAGAACGUCGUGAGACAGUUCGGUUUAUAUCCGCUGUGGACGCAAGGAAAUUUGAGAGGAUCUACCCCUAGUACGAGAGGACCGGGGCGGACGCACCGCUGGUGUAUCAGUUGUUCUACCAAGGGCAUUGCUGAGUAGCUAUCGUGCGGAAUAGAUAAGCGCUGAAAGCAUAUUAAGCGCGAAACUAGCCUCAAGAUUAGAUUUCCCUAUGAUCCCCCAGAAAGACUAUCUGGUUGAUAGGCGCAAGGUGUACGCACAGCAAUGUGUUUAGCCGAAGCGUACUAAUAGGGACAUUGACUUUUUACG